CAGUAGCCGCGGGAAUACGUAGGGGGCUAGCGUUGCUUGGAAUGACUGGGCGUAAAGGGCGCGUAGGCGGCGAUCAAAGUCAGGCGUGAAAUUCCUGGGCUCAACCUGGGGGCUGCGCUUGAUACUUGGUUGCUUGAGUGGGGAAGAGGGUCGUGGAAUUCCCAGUGUAGAGGUGAAAUUCGUAGAUAUUGGGAAGAACACCGGUGGCGAAGGCGGCGACCUGGUCCUUUACUGACGCUGAGGCGCGAAAGCGUGGGGAGCAAACAGGAUUAGAUACCCCCGUAGUCCCUGUCUCUUAUAC
rnacentral:rRNA from 1 species